AGGCGACUCACCUUGGGCCACGUGGACUCAGGCUUCCCUGGAAACCUCAGGAAGAAACCCUUCUAGGACGCGGCCUCAGAGCCAGCCCCCAGAAGACCCACAAAACAGCACCUAGGCUUCCAUCUGGGUCUCCAGAGCAUGCAUGCGCCGCCUCCACAUGAGGAGGGACUUCCUGACAGUCAGACAGUGGAACACACUCCUUCCUCGGAAUGUGGAGGAACUUCCCUCCCUGGAGGCCAGCGUCGGUCCCUCUCUGGGAGAAAUGUGGCAUAAAAAUAGAAGAAGCUUCUUUCUUUCAGUUCAUCUCAAAUGUGUUACAAGAUCCCUUUGCAUACUGAUAUUCCAUACUAACAUGGCUAUGCCUCCUGUUAGUACUCUACAGAAAGCAGCACUUCUUAAUGUCUUUUACUUGGAGGUGAUGAGAAAAUCCAGAAUGAAACCCUUGGAAUGACAUGGGACAAUAAGGAAAGGAUUUGGAAAGGAGGACAAAACAAUAAAGUAAAGUAAAAAUUCAA